GAUGAACGCUGGCGGCGUGCUUAACACAUGCAAGUCGAACGGAAAGGCCCAAGCUUGCUUGGGUACUCGAGUUGCGAACGGGUGAGUAACACGUGGGUAACCUGCCCUGCACUUCGGGAUAAGCCUGGGAAACUGGGUCUAAUACCGGAUAGCACCAUGUUUUGGAUGCUAUUGUGGAAAGUUUUUGCGGUGUUGGAUGAGCUCGCGGCCUAUCAGCUUGUUGGUGGGGUAAUGGCCUACCAAGUCGUCGACGGGUAGCCGGCCUGCGAGAGUGUACGGCCGCACUGGGACCGAGAGACGGCCCAGAGUCGGACGGGAGGCAGAAGGGGGGAAGACUGCACGAUGGAAGCAAGCCUGAGGCAGCGAGGCCGCGGGGGGGAAAACGGCGUUCGGGUUGUAAAAACAGUUCGCGAGGGAAGAAGCGAUUUUGUGACGGUACCUGAAGAAAAAGCACCGGCUAACUACGUG
rnacentral:rRNA from 1 species